CUUAGGCGGAUUGCCUAGGGACUCGAACGGAAAUUUUAUAAGAAUCGAUGCAUCGCGGGGGAAUCGAUUCCGCGGUCGGAACCGCGAGUGUGUAAUCGACCAAGCCGGAUCGAUUCCGGGGUAAUUGAUCGGUCCACAACUAACGUGUGUACUGUAGGCAAUGGAGGGCCUGCUGCUGCUGCCGCUGAUGCUGCUGAUGUUGGCCGGGUUCGGAGCUUCAGGACCCGAGUUCGAACCGCCUCGUGGAGCACCACGUGGUCUGGCGAGUGCUAGGGUGGAGAGUUGCGGAGGAUGACAGCUGAACUUCUUGAAAGAGGUGAAGGCCUUCAUCAAGGAAGACCUGCCUCUAUAGCAGCC